AUCCAAAUGACUUCUAAUAUGCAGAAGUGAUCCUGUAUUUUUUUCUCCAACUUGAAAAUUUGUCAUGGAUUUAGGAGUACUGAUGUCUACCUAGCAGAGAGGAUGAAGGUCAGUUGUGGGACAGGUUGGGCUAAGAUGUUGUUUGGACAUUUACCGCAGAAUACAGUGUUAUGAUUGCUAUUUCAGAAAAGGGAGCAUCUAAGGAUAGGUAGAAAUUCAUGGGGAAGAUCCAGACCCCCUGUGAAAGAAUUGAGAAGAAAACAUGAGACAGAAUUUGGGCAAAAUAGGUACUUUCCAUCUCAGAACUGCACCCAGAGUAGUUCUGGCAGUUACACCGUAGGAACAAUUUAACCCAGGGAAAAGGGUCUUCUCCCAGCAGACCCUUUCAGGCAGAGAAAGUGAAUUGUUUUUGAAUGUUAGCACUUAAUUACUCCCUCCUACAACUGACAAACAUCAUCCCAGACUUGUAAUUGCUUUAAAACAUUAGCCAACUGCCAUGGGGAAGAGGUUAGAAGACCGUAAAUAUUGGCUGACAAAAUAAUGGAAUGGAGUCAAGCUCCUACGCACAGGAAUGCAUUGGGUAAUAUCUCCCCGUGACUUGGUUCUGACUAGAGAUGAGCUUUAUUCCAAUUAUUCCAGCUAUUCAUAUCCUUGGGUACUGAUGAAAACAGAAUAAGUUAGAAAUGUUGCAGAUAAUCAAAAGGCAAAUAUCUCCCAAGGUCUCUGGGGAAUCAGAAACAUUUGCUCAAGCAGUUUGCUUGGAAUUUAUAGACUCUGCCUUUGCCGACUCUACAGCUGUAUUGAGCAGCAUCCAGAAACUCAGUUAAGAACAAGCCUCACUGUAAAAGACAGAUCAUAGAAUGGCCUGGGUUGAAAAGGACCACAAUGAUCAUCCAGUUCCAACCCCCUGCUAUGUGCAGGGUCACCAACCACCAGACCAGGCUGCCCAGAGCCACAUCCAGCCUGGCCUUGAAUGCCUCCAGGGAUGGGGCAUCCACAGCCUCCUUGGGCAACCUGUUCAGUGCAUCACCACCCUCUGGGUGAAAAACUUCCUUCUAAUAUCUAACCUAAACCUCCCCUGUCUCAGUUUAAAACCAUUCCCCCUUGU
ensembl:lncRNA